rnacentral:tmRNA from 1 species
GCUCUUCCGUUUCUCGACCGGACACCUUAUAUUGGGAGCGUUCUCGCAAGAGGACUAUGACGAUAAACUGUCAUCGAAAUAAACCUUUCGGACCCGGGGGCAGUACCCGGCGCCUCCACCAGAACCCGUUCCGGCGUGAGCCGAAUAGACGGGCUCUGGCGGGGGCGAACCAGGAUCGACGAGGGUGUAAAGGGUGGUCUUUCGUCCGGCAUUGUACCACCGUUAUCGGGCUAAACUUAUAGUUGCCAAUGACAACUAUGCUCCGGUUGCCGUCGCUGCGUAAUGCAGUGCCAAGACCGAAAUCAAAGCCCUUGCGCUUAGCCGCGUAAGGCGGGGCCCGGAGGCGCCUGGCAACAGAAGCCUCCACU